AUUGAACGCUGGCGGCAGGCCUAACACAUGCGAGUCGAACGGUAACAGGAAGACGCUUGCUUCUUUGCUGAAGAGUGGCGGACGGGUGAGUAAUGUCUGGGAAACUGCCUGAUGGAGGGGGAUAACUACUGGAAACGGUAGCUAAUACCGCAUAACGUCGCAAGACCGAAGAGGGGGACCUUCGGGCCUCUUGCCAUCGGAUGUGCCCAGAUGGGAUUAGCUAGUAGGUGGGGUAACGGCUCACCUAGGCGACGAUCCCCAGCUGGUCUGAGAGGAUGACCAGCCACACUGGAACUGGGACACGGUCCAGACUCCUACGGGAGGCAGCAGUGGGGAAUAUUGCACAAUGGGCGCAAGCCUGAUGCAGCCAUGCCGCGUGUAUGAAGAAGGCCUUCGGGUUGUAAAGUACUUUCAGCGGGGAGGAAGGGAGUAAAGUUAAUACCUUUGCUCAUUGACGUUACCCGCAGAAGAAGCACCGGCUAACCCCGUG
rnacentral:rRNA from 1 species